AUCGCUCUGGACAAUUAAUAAAUCACCCCUCCUUCUCAAAAUACAACGUCUCAUCUACAUUUUCAUUUUCUUACAUUUUCAUUUUCUUGUACAGCUUCUCUCUUACCGUGAAAUUCCGUUACCCCCUUUUCGUUAGAUCUCUUCUCCUUGGUUUCUCAGCUUUGAAUUCGUUCGACGAUCUGCGUUUUGAUUAUGGAUUCGAGUGUUUUCGUUGAGCGAUUCGCUUCCGAUCUUCGAUUCAGACUCGUCCUUUCUUCGGUCAUGGGUGAAUUGAGGUGUGUAUUUUCCUCCAUUUCUUGAAGGCUCUUGAUGUUUGUUCUGAACCAUUAGUGCUCGGGCUUUGUACGUCUGGUUCGAUGCGAAACCUUGCCGUCUUUCUGAAAUUCUUGAGAUCUAAAACGCUUGGUUUGAUCGGUGCAAUCAAUUCAGAUCUCGUGAUUCUUAUGGAUUCAGAUCGGAUUUUGAUAUGAAGCUGUGAAGGAUUGCUAAAGUGUUUCUUUAUGCUUUUUUUGAUGUGCUUUCUUUUGUCAUCUUCUUGGUAUAAUAAAGAAGAUAGUUUGUGUGUGUGUGUUUUCGGUGUAUACCAGAGGGGUAUAGCCUAGGGUAAGAAAAAAAUGUGAGAUGUGUAAUGUUCUACUGGUUGUCAAUCGACCUUUGCCAUGUCAGAUGCGCUUGCUUGGCAGGUCAAAAAAAACCCUAAUAAAAAGUUUGUUUUUUGUGUUUGAGGGGGUGAUGGUACGGGGUUUUGCCCGGCUCUCCCCUUCUUGUGUGUUGCGUCUUUUUUUUUUUUCUCUCUUGAUUUUGUCCUCCCCAAUUCUCUCUCCAAUCCAAUCAGUUCAUCGUGUCUUUAUUUGUCUCUCGAAUGGAUGAUUUUACAUCGAUUCGAAACAAAUAGGGACAUCAACACGCCAAUUAUUUGUACAUCAAGCAAGCAAACACAAGGAUGGGAUUAGCACAUCAUGACUAUUCAGUCCAAGAGUGUUGCAGCAGAGUAAAGAUUCUUGAUUCCUCUGUGCUAGCUGGAGAGAGGAUGAAUUUUAGCGGCCUGAUCAUUUGAAGGAAUAAAUUCAUGCAUUGUAGAAAAGAAUUUUUUUUCGUCAUGUUGAUGCAGAAGAGAGGCGACAGUACUUUCUUAUGUGCUGAAUUUAUAAUUUUUUUUUCUAUUUCUUUGAUGAUGCAGAAGAGGAGACAGUACUUUCUUAUGUGGUGAACUCAAAUUUUUUUUUUGCUAUUUCUUUGAUAUUGUGGAUUUUUUUAGCUAAUGUGAUAGAUUUUGAAUUGCAUUGGUUCUGACUUUGGGGUUGAGCAUGUCUAAUUUAAAUCUUGGUUCUUCAUGCGUAGAUUUUGUGGUGUGAACUUCAUUAUUUUUUUGGCAGAGAUGGUGGAGUCCUUUAUACUAGUAUUUCUUGAGGGUUGCGGCCAAAUGCAUUGUAGGAAGUAUGGCGUGCAGUUCAGCAUUGUAUAUCUGCUUGUGUUUGCCAUUUGUUGUAUUUACUUCAUAUGUUGUGGUGCUGAUCCCCAGGAGGCUUGAGUUUGAAGUGUUAUGGGGUCAUCUGAGAUAGAUUUCUAGAGUUCGCUUCUGACACACCAUGUUUGCUGAAGUGUCGCAAUGCCACAAUAAGUGUCUUCUUCACAGAGUAGCUUUGAAAUGCAAGAUUUGUAACACUACAAAUCUAAGAUCUCUCUCAGAUUAGCGAGAAAGAGGCUUGAAAACACUUAGUGAUGAUUAUGAGUUGCAUGUUCAAGUUCGUAUUUGAUUAGCAGUGAUCAAACUAGAGUUUGGAACGAAGAGAGAGUGAGAUGCUUUUAUGGCCGAUCAGAGAGGUUUGAUGAUAUGUUACAGAGAUUCAGAAUGCUCCAAUACCCAAACGAUGCCAUUUUGUGGAGCAGAGAUCUUCGGUAUCACAACAGUCCAAAGCAAGAGUUGAAGAUCAGGUCUCUUUCUCUAUAUCCCUCAUUUUCGUGUUUCUCUUUUCCCUCUGUGAUUUCAAUUCCUUCAAGAGCUUAGGGAAUAACUAUCUAGGGCUCAAGGAUCACAAGUUGUAUCCAUAAGUUGAAGAGGUGUUUCAGGACAAAGCGACACUGAGCGCGGCGGAGAUCGGCAAAAUCAUGAUAGCCAACAAGAACUCAUCGAGUAGGGCGUUGAGGUCGGUGAUCGGAAUAGCAUAUUCACCUUUCUCUUUAAUCGAUGUUUCACAACCUUUGAUUUUGUAUUUGUUUUGUGUGAUUGGUUCUUUGAAAUCACUGUGUGUGUGGAAUUGAAAGGUCUGUAAUCAAGGAUUUACUUCAAUUUGUUGCAAUUACGAUAUGGAAAUUGAUUUGUGUUUUGUUUGAUA